UAGGCUCCAGGGGGGCCGGGCCUUGGGGCCCUGAGGGGCGGUCUCAUGGGGAGCAGCAUCUCACCCAGCUGUAUAGGGGCUCACAGUGCAUUCUGGGGGGCAUCCAAGGCCUGAAGUGGGGUGUCUCCUUUUCCGACCACCCCCCUCCACUUGUGUUCCCUGCACCUCAGAGUCCUCCAACUUCACAGCUGUCCUGCUGGGCCUGCUGGUGCCUGUGGGGGUUGGAGUGCCCACCGUGGCCCAGCUGUGUGCAUCCAGGAAGCGGCGGAGGAGGGAGAAAGCUCAGAGGCCGGACAGGCAGCUGCUGGUGGACGCGGGUGCAAGCUGACAGAGCCCUGGCGCCCAGCAAGUGGUCUCCUGCGCCGACUGCUCACUUGGACCUCGCUCAGGGUCCCCCCCAAGAAGAGAUAAAAAAGAGACAGGAUUAAAGGGUUUAUUUUUGA